AUUGAACGCUGGCGGCAGGCCUAACACAUGCAAGUCGAACGGUAACAGGAAGAAGCUUGCUUCUUUGCUGACGAGUGGCGGACGGGUGAGUAAUGUCUGGGAAACUGCCUGAUGGAGGGGGAUAACUACUGGAAACGGUAGCUAAUACCGCAUAACGUCGCAAGACCAAAGAGGGGGACCUUCGGGCCUCUUGCCAUCGGAUGUGCCCAGAUGGGAUUAGCUAGUAGGUGGGGUAACGGCUCACCUAGGCGACGAUACAUAGGGGGACUGAGAGGUUAACCCCCCACACUGGUACUGAGACACGGACCAGACUCCUACGGGAGGCAGCAGUCGGGAAUAUUGCGCAAUGGAGGAAACUCUGACGCAAGUGACGCCGCGUGCAGGAAGAAGGUUUUCGGAUUGUAAACUGCUUUAGACAGGGAAGAAAUAAGACAGUACCUGUAGAAUAAACUCCGGCUAACUACGUG
rnacentral:rRNA from 1 species